rnacentral:misc_RNA from 1 species
UAAUAAGUGUUUUAUGGCACUUUUUAAAUCCAUAUCCACCUUGUGUGCAAUGUCAGUCGAUCUUCUUCAUGGAGAGUCGACCAAACAUCAACCUUUAUCUUUUAACUCUUUGUCUUAAAAAUAUUAUGAAUAAACAAUUCAAAAUA